UACGUAGGGCGCAAGCGUUGUCCGGAAUUAUUGGGCGUAAAGAGCUCGUAGGCGGUUUGUCGCGUCUGCUGUGAAAACCUAAGGCUCAACCUUGGGCUUGCAGUGGAUACGGGCAGGCUAGAGUUCGGUAGGGGAGACUGGAAUUCCUGGUGUAGCGGUGAAAUGCGUAGAUAUCUGGAGGAAUACCGGUGGCGAAGGCGGCAUCCUGGACCGGCAUUGACGCUGAUGAGCGAAAGCUAGGGGAGCAAACAGG
rnacentral:rRNA from 1 species